rnacentral:rRNA from 1 species
ACGGCAGCACGGGAGCUUGCUCCUGGUGGCGAGUGGCGAACGGGUGAGUAAUGCGUCGGAACGUACCGAGUAAUGGGGGAUAACGCAGCGAAAGCUGUGCUAAUACCGCAUACGCCCUGAGGGGGAAAGUGGGGGAUCGCAAGACCUCACGUUAUUCGAGCGGCCGACGUCUGAUUAGCUAGUUGGUGGGGUAAUGGCCUACCAAGGCGACGAUCAGUAGCGGGUCUGAGAGGAUGAUCCGCCACACUGGAACUGAGACACGGUCCAGACUCCUACGGGAGGCAGCAGUGGGGAAUUUUGGACAAUGGGGGCAACCCUGAUCCAGCCAUUCCGCGUGAGUGAAGAAGGCCUUCGGGUUGUAAAGCUCUUUCAGCUGGAACGAAACGGUACGCUCUAACAUAGCGUGCUAAUGACGGUACCGGCAGAAGAAGCACCGGCUAACUACGUGCCAGCAGCCGCGGUAAUACGUAGGGUGCGAGCGUUAAUCGGAAUUACUGGGCGUAAAGCGUGCGCAGGCGGAUUGUUAAGCAAGAUGUGAAAUCCCCGGGCUUAACCUGGGAAUGGCAUUUUGAACUGGCAGUCUAGAGUGCGUCAGAGGGGGGUGGAAUUCCACGUGUAGCAGUGAAAUGCGUAGAGAUGUGGAGGAACACCAAUGGCGAAGGCAGCCCCCUGGGAUGACACUGACGCUCAUGUACGAAAGCGUGGGUAGCAAACAGGAUUAGAUACCCUGGUAGUCCACGCCCUAAACGAUGUCAACUGGUUGUUGGGGGAGUGAAAUCCCUUAGUAACGAAGCUAACGCGUGAAGUUGACCGCCUGGGGAGUACGGUCGCAAGAUUAAAACUCAAAGGAAUUGACGGGGACCCGCACAAGCGGUGGAUGAUGUGGAUUAAUUCGAUGCAACGCGAAAAACCUUACCUACCCUUGACAUGUCCGGA